GACGAACGCUGGCGGCGUGCCUAAUACAUGCAAGUUGAGCGCUGAAGGUUGGUACUUGUACCAACUGGAUGAGCAGCGAACGGGUGAGUAACGCGUGGGGAAUCUGCCUUUGAGCGGGGGACAACAUUUGGAAACGAAUGCUAAUACCGCAUAAAAACUUUAAACACAAGUUUUAAGUUUGAAAGAUGCAAUUGCAUCACUCAAAGAUGAUCCCGCGUUGUAUUAGCUAGUUGGUGAGGUAAAGGCUCACCAAGGCGAUGAUACAUAGCCGACCUGAGAGGGUGAUCGGCCACAUUGGGACUGAGACACUGCCCAAACUCCUACGGGAGGCAGCAGUAGGGAAUCUUCGGCAAUGGACGAAAGUCUGACCGAGCAACGCCGCGUGAGUGAAGAAGGUUUUCGGAUCGUAAAACUCUGUUGGUAGAGAAGAACGUUGGUGAGAGUGGAAAGCUCAUCAAGUGACGGUAACUACCCAGAAAGGGACGGCUAACUACGUG
rnacentral:rRNA from 1 species